UCUUGACAGCAGAAGCUCCAAUGUCAUUUGAAGUUGAUGGAUCUGGUUUGAACUCAGGAACAUUGAUCGCACCCACCAGUUGUCGCUGUCACCACCAGAGCACACCACGGAAUGCUGCUUGCACUUGGAGCAGUCACCUGUGUAGCGGGAUACAGUUGCAUCUAACACUGCAGGCUCAGAGUUGGAUUCUUCAGCUGUAACAGUUGCUGGCCGUAGUAUCCGUGUUGGACAUGGUCUGUCUCCAGUAUCUGUUGUUACCAGGGAAAGGCCGUCAGGA